AGAAGGCUAUGUUAGCCGGGCGACGGUUGUCCCGGUUUAAGCAUGUAGGCUGGUUAUCCAGGCAAAUCCGGAUAAUCAAGGCUGAGGUGUGAUGACGAGGCACUACGGUGCUGAAGUAACAAAUGCCCUGCUUCCAGGAAAAGCCUCUAAGCAUCAGGUAACAUUAAAUCGUACCCCAAACCGACACAGGUGGUCAGGUAGAGAAUACCAAGGCGCUUGA
rnacentral:rRNA from 1 species